rnacentral:rRNA from 1 species
UACGGAGGGUGCAAGCGUUAUCCGGAUUUACUGGGUUUAAAGGGUGCGUAGGUGGAUAAUUAAGUCAGUGGUGAAAUCUUCAGGCUUAACCUGGAAACUGCCAUUGAUACUAUUUAUCUUGAAUACUUUGGAGGUAAGCGGAAUAUGUCAUGUAGCGGUGAAAUGCUUAGAUAUGACAUAGAACACCAAUUGCGAAGGCAGCUUACUACACAGUAAUUGACACUGAGGCACGAAAGCGUGGGGAUCAAACGGG